rnacentral:rRNA from 1 species
CCUACGGGAGGCAGCAGUGAGGAAUAUUGGUCAAUGGGCGAGAGCCUGAACCAGCCAAGUCGCGUGAGGGAGUACUGCCCUAUGGGUUGUAAACCUCUUUUGUCGGGGAGCAAAAGCCGGACGUGUCCGGCUGUGAGAGUACCCGAAGAAAAAGCAUCGGCUAACUCCGUGCCAGCAGCCGCGGUAAUACGGAGGAUGCGAGCGUUAUCCGGAUUUAUUGGGUUUAAAGGGUGCGCAGGCGGAUUUUUAAGUCAGCGGUAAAAUCGUGGGGCUCAACCCCAUCCAGCCGUUGAAACUGGGGAUCUAGAGUGUGCGAGAGGUAUGCGGGAUGCGUGGUGUAGCGGUGAAAUGCAUAGAUAUCACGCAGAACCCCGAUUGCGAAGGCAGCAUACCGGUGCACAACUGACGCUCAGGCACGAAAGCGUGGGUAUCGAACAGGAUUAGAUACCCCGGUAGUC